rnacentral:rRNA from 1 species
UCCUACGGGAGGCAGCAGUGGGGAAUAUUGCACAAUGGACGAAAGUCUGAUGCAGCAACGCCGCGUGGAGGAUGACACAUUUCGGUGCGUAAACUCCUUUUAUAUAAGAAGAUAAUGACGGUAU